rnacentral:rRNA from 1 species
GAUGAACGCUGGCGGCGUGCCUAAUACAUGCAAGUCGAGCGAACAGACAAGGAGCUUGCUCCUUUGACGUUAGCGGCGGACGGGUGAGUAACACGUGGGUAACCUACCUAUAAGACUGGGAUAACUUCGGGAAACCGGAGCUAAUACCGGAUAAUAUUUCGAACCGCAUGGUUCGAUAGUGAAAGAUGGUUUUGCUAUCACUUAUAGAUGGACCCGCGCCGUAUUAGCUAGUUGGUAAGGUAACGGCUUACCAAGGCGACGAUACGUAGCCGACCUGAGAGGGUGAUCGGCCACACUGGAACUGAGACACGGUCCAGACUCCUACGGGAGGCAGCAGUAGGGAAUCUUCCGCAAUGGGCGAAAGCCUGACGGAGCAACGCCGCGUGAGUGAUGAAGGUCUUCGGAUCGUAAAACUCUGUUAUUAGGGAAGAACAUACGUGUAAGUAACUAUGCACGUCUUGACGGUACCUAAUCAGAAAGCCACGGCUAACUACGUGCCAGCAGCCGCGGUAAUACGUAGGUGGCAAGCGUUAUCCGGAAUUAUUGGGCGUAAAGCGCGCGUAGGCGGUUUUUUAAGUCUGAUGUGAAAGCCCACGGCUCAACCGUGGAGGGUCAUUGGAAACUGGAAAACUUGAGUGCAGAAGAGGAAAGUGGAAUUCCAUGUGUAGCGGUGAAAUGCGCAGAGAUAUGGAGGAACACCAGUGGCGAAGGCGACUUUCUGGUCUGUAACUGACGCUGAUGUGCGAAAGCGUGGGGAUCAAACAGGAUUAGAUACCCUGGUAGUCCACGCCGUAAACGAUGAGUGCUAAGUGUUAGGGGGUUUCCGCCCCUUAGUGCUGCAGCUAACGCAUUAAGCACUCCGCCUGGGGAGUACGACCGCAAGGUUGAAACUCAAAGGAAUUGACGGGGACCCGCACAAGCGGUGGAGCAUGUGGUUU